GACGUAGGGUGCGAGCGUUGUCCGGAAUUAUUGGGCGUAAAGAGCUCGUAGGCGGUGUGUCACGUCGAUCGUGAAAACUUUCAGCUUAACUGGGAGCUUGCGGUCGAUACGGGCAUCACUGGAGUUCGGCAGGGGAGACUGGAAUUCAAGGUGUAGCGGUGAAAUGCGCAGAUAUCUUGAGGAACACCGGUGGCGAAGGCGGGUCUCUGGGCCGAUACUGACGCUGAGGAGCGAAAGCGUGGGGAGCGAACAGG
rnacentral:rRNA from 1 species